rnacentral:rRNA from 1 species
GACGAACGCUGGCGGCGUGCUUAACACAUGCAAGUCGAACGGAAAGGCCCUGCUUGCGUGGGGUGCUCGAGUGGCGAAGGGGUGAGUAACACGUGAGUAACCUGCCCUUGACUUGGGGAUAACUUCAGGAAACUGGGGCUAACACCGGAUAGGAGCUCCUGCUGCAUGGGGGGGGUCGGACAGCUUCGGCGGUUGGGGGUGGACGCGCGGCUAAUCAGCUUGUGGGUGGGGUAGUGGCUUACCAAGGCUUUGACGGGUAGCCGGCCUGGGAGGGUGACCGCCCACAUUGGGACUGAGAUACGGCCCAGACUCCUACGGGAGGCAGCAGUGGGGAAUAUUGCCCAAUGAGCGGAAGCCUGAUACAGCAGCGCCGCGUGCGGGAUGACGGCCUUCGGGUUGUAAACCGCAUUCGCCUGUGACGAAGCGUGAGUGACGGUAAUGGGUGAAGAAGCACCGGCUAACUACGUG